rnacentral:rRNA from 1 species
GUGAGGAAUAUUGGUCAAUGGGCGAGAGCCUGAACCAGCCAAGUCGCGUGAAGGAAGAAGGAUCUAUGGUUCGUAAACUUCUUUUGCAGGGGAAUAAAGUGCAGGACGUGUCCUGUUUUGUAUGUACCCUGAGAAUAAGGAUCGGCUAACUCCGUGCCAGCAGCCGCGGUAAUACGGAGGAUCCGAGCGUUAUCCGGAUUUAUUGGGUUUAAAGGGUGCGUAGGUGGUUUGAUAAGUCAGCGGUGAAAGUUUGCAGCUUAACUGUAAAAAUGCCGUUGAAACUGUCGGACUUGAGUGUAAAUGAGGUAGGCGGAAUGCGUGGUGUAGCGGUGAAAUGCAUAGAUAUCACGCAGAACUCCGAUUGCGAAGGCAGCUUACUAAGCUACAACUGACACUGAAGCACGAAAGCGUGGGGAUCAAACAGGAUUAGAUACCCCGUAGUCC